GGGUUGUGAGGUUAAGCGACUAAGCGUACACGGUGGAUGCCCUGGCAGUCAGAGGCGAUGAAGGACGUGCUAAUCUGCGAUAAGCGUCGGUAAGGUGAUAUGAACCGUUAUAACCGGCGAUUUCCGAAUGGGGAAACCCAGUGUGAUUCGUCACACUAUCAUUAACUGAAUCCAUAGGUUAAUGAGGCGAACCGGGGGAACUGAAACAUCUAAGUACCCCGAGGAAAAGAAAUCAACCGAGAUUCCCCCAGUAGCGGCGAGCGAACGGGGAGGAGCCCAGAGCCUGAAUCAGUGUGUGUGUUAGUGGAAGCGUCUGGAAAGGCGCGCGAUACAGGGUGACAGCCCCGUACACAAAAAUGCACAUA
rnacentral:rRNA from 1 species